UACGUAGGGUGCGAGCGUUGUCCGGAAUUAUUGGGCGUAAAGAGCGUGUAGGCGGUCCGGUAAGUCAGCUGUGAAAGUCAAGGGCUCAACCCUUGAAAGCCGGUUGAUACUGUCGGGCUAGAGUCCGGAAGAGGCGAGUGGAAUUCCCGGUGUAGCGGUGAAAUGCGCAGAUAUCGGGAGGAACACCAAUGGCGAAGGCAGCUCGCUGGGACGGUACUGACGCUGAGACGCGAAAGCGUGGGGAGCAAACAGGG
rnacentral:rRNA from 1 species